CCUACUAUAACUUCUAUUCAUUCCCACAUAACCUAGUGUGUGUUGCAUUAAUGAGUCUGUUACUGCUGUUGGAAAUCAAAACUCUGCAUAAAGUAAUCCUUAGAAUUGUCUCUCCAGAGGAGUGAGAAACUAUUUUGUUUGCCCACCACCUCCUGUUUGUCAUUGUUUGUAGGCUGCUUCAGAGCCCUUAAGUCUCUUCUACUUCUGAGGCAUCCUGCAGAGAGACUGAGGCAGCUCCUGCCAUCAGAGAGAGCCCACCAUGGGAAUGGUUAUUAUGGGACCUGCAGAGAGAGACGUGCCCCAGAGUUCCCAGUAUUUCAACCAGAGACACAUUUGUCAAAGAAAGUCACUCAGAUGUCAUCACUACUGUUUCUCAGAAGCAAAUAGUGGAUUUUACAGCUGAGUUUCAUUCAGUUAACAAGUGAAAACUGAUAAAGCAACUGAUGAAAAUGAUUGGAGAAAAAUUGUCAGAAUUAUAUAACCAGAUAGAAGGAAAUUCCAUGCCAGGGUGAAGGUCGGAAUGAUGGAAAUAGACACAUAUGAAAAUGAAGUUGCUCCAGAAGUUUGAGGAAUAUCAUGAUUAACUUGUUCCAUUCAUAUUUUCUUUUUUGUUCACUGUGCAAGGUCAAAAUGCAUGUGUAAAUAAACUCUUUAGUCAUGGUUUAUUGAACA
rnacentral:lncRNA from 12 species